rnacentral:RNase_P_RNA from 1 species
GCUGCAAAACGGCUUAUCGCUGUCCUGAUUUAUCGGGAGGGAGGAAAGUCCGGGCAACAUAGAGUAGUGCACCUCUAGAAACAGAGGGUACAGCGGCAGGAAUGCCACUGUAACAGAAAGGGUAGCAGAAAAUAACCGCCUCAUUUUUUUGAGGUAAGGGUGAAAAAGUGAGGUAAGAGCUCACACGCUCGGGUGGUAACAUUCGUUUGGUACAAACCUUGCACGUUGUAAUACCAAGUAAACUAUAGGUUGAGGGCUACUCGUCCGACUCUGGCUUGCUAGAGACUAUAGAGGGUAGGUAGCGUAGAUAAAUGAUAAGCUCCUCACCUCGGUGAGUAGACAGAACCCGGCUUAUAGUUUUGCAUUUUUU